rnacentral:rRNA from 1 species
GAUGAACGCUGGCGGCGUGCCUAAUACAUGCGAGUCGAGCGAACGGACGAGAAGCUUGCUUCUCUGAUGUUAGCGGCGGACGGGUGAGUAACACGUGGAUAACCUACCUAUAAGACUGGGAUAACUUCGGGAAACCGGAGCUAAUACCGGAUAAUAUUUUGAACCGCAUGGUUCAAAAGUGAAAGACGGUCUUGCUGUCACUUAUAGAUGGAUCCGCGCUGCAUUAGCUAGUUGGUAAGGUAACGGCUUACCAAGGCAACGAUGCAUAGCCGACCUGAGAGGUUGAUCGGCACACUGGAACUGAGACACGGUCCAGACUCCUACGGGAGGCAGCAGUAGGGAAUCUUCCGCAAUGGGCGAAAGCCUGACGGAGCAACGCCGCGUGAGUGAUGAAGGUCUUCGGAUCGUAAAACUCUGUUAUUAGGGAAGAACAUAUGUGUAAGUAACUGUGCACAUCUUGACGGUACCUAAUCAGAAAGCCACGGCUAACUACGUG